AGAGUGAAUGUGUGGGUCUUUAAUUUCUAAGGAAGGUAAAGCAAACUAAUCAGAAUUAUGUACAUGACCGGAGAAAAGAAAAGGCAUAACAACAAUUAUGAGGUUUCUUUGUGUAGUAAUAAUGACCAAAAUCCAGUGUUCUGUUUUACAAAGGAAAGUCGAAGUUGACAAAUGGAUAAAUACAAGCUUCUUGCAUGAUCUUAAUAAAAAAAGGCAUGUCUUUGAAAUUCACCGUUACUCCGCUUACCCAAAAUGUUCUUUGUGCUCCAGUAAAACGAUGUUUUGCAACAAAGCCAUGAGAAUCAGGCAGACUCUCGUCCUUCAGACUGACAAGAAAAAACGUUCCCAGGACGUCAAAUUCCAAAUCCAUUUUACCCAUUGCUCCUAGUAACAUAAACGAUAAUAGCCUUGGUAACAUUAUUCACUCAUGCUGAUAUUAUCACCUCCUUCAAGAUCACUAAGUUCACCAAAUUCUUGUUCUUCUUCGCUAUCUUGAUCAGUUUCCAUGGCUUCAUCAGAUUCUUGUUCAUCACUU
rnacentral:misc_RNA from 1 species